CUCCCGUUGCUCGCGAGGGGCACCUCUGCGUCUCACCCACGACCGGCUGACACCCCGGCAGCCUCGCAGCCAACAGUUCACAAAUAAUGAAUGAGGUUCAGAAGAGUUGUAAGUACAAGUUGUAACUCUCUGGAGUUUGGAAGACUACCUCUGCAUCUGCUUUCCACCUGGCAAGACUUGCAUAGUAAGUAAAUAACUUCUCUUAUGUUGUUUGGAAUGAAGAUAGAUUCUCAUUUUUACCAAUAAAUUGCAAUCCUGGCAGAAUGGUACUUGGACCUAGUAUGGUUAAGGCAACUGUUUGCUAGAUCCUUUUGUUUUCUUCAUGAAUCCUGCGCAAAUUAUGGUACUGGGUGGUGAUAUUUGAAAAAGACUUAAAUUCCACAAGAAGGCGUUCUUAAAGAGGUAAGAUUUAUGCUUCCUCCCUUGACUCCAAAAUAUUUGUUCAAACAAUCUGAUGCUAAGAAGAAAUUGUGGUGGUUUUUUUUUUUUUUAAAUAGUCACAAGCCUUUGGGACCAAAUUCCGGUUUCUAAAAGUAUUGAUCAAAAUGAGCUUCUUGACCAAAAUUGAGGAUCACUUCAAGGUACCGACCCCCUUUCAUUCUUCUAG
rnacentral:lncRNA from 1 species